GCAGGUGGGAGUAAGAGUUACUUCAGAUCUGCAGGGCAGAGUCUCCAGGUUAACUUCUCUACCUGGAACUACCAUGUACCCCAGCAGAAGGACGACAGUACUUAAAAUUGCUGCACCUGACACUGACCUUCUGGGCUUGGCUCCCACCUCCUGUAAUUUCUUCUUUCUGCAAAUCCUCCAUUCGUUUAUAGGGGGAAUGUGUAAUGCAGAACACUGUUACAGAAAACACAUGAUUCCUUAUCGUGCUGGAGAAGGGCUAUAAAUAAUAACCACGGGAGCAAGGCCACGCAGGCGCUGCUCCCUCCACCUCCCCA